CCAGGAGACAACAAUUCUCAUCACUUCCCAGCAUGAGCCCAGGGUAACCCCACUCAGCAUCCAGCCUGGGGGGAAGCACUGGUCCCUGGAGGCUGUGCCUUCCCGCCCCAGCACGGACUGUCUGUUUUAUCAUGUGGCAGAAGAGGCACUGGUGCCAGGAUGCCCCUGGACACCCGUCUUUGGCAGGCUGUGCAGCACAAUGCGCUUCUUGGGUUUCAUCCCUGUGGCAGAUGGAGCAAGCUCACGGCCUCGUGUAGGAGCGAGGCACAGGGCUGCUGGAAAUGCAGGAAUGACAGAUCCCCAAUGUCCCCCUGCCCUCAGCAUGUGCUGGUUGGCUUUGUAAAUGUGACCAUGGGGGGCAAGGAGAAAAACAGCACGUGCUGGAGGAAUUGAGUGUAGCCAGAGGACUGACAGAAGAGUGCUCUGGAGGGUCCAUCACUGCUUUGAAUGCUGAUUUGAUGGCAGGAACUCACUUUUUUUCCUACAAAUUUGAGCUGGGGAUGUGUUUGUGAAAGACCUCACCUUCAUCUUGUACUCCAUACAGAAUCUUGGUUGGGGUAGGGAUGUGGGGCUCUGUUGGUUGCAGUUGAAGCUGUUGCUCAUGUUUCCGGCUCACUUUUAAAUUGGGUCUAUUUAUGUAAUUACAUAUUGAAGGCAUUAAAAGAACUUGGCUUCUACUGAAUGGGGGCUGCCCUUGAUGAUUUAUUUUUCACUGUGAUUGCAAUCAUGACAAGACACGAAGGCCAAGAAAAGCCAGUCUUUACCUGAGGCUGGCUGUGUGACACAAAUUACUUUUUUACCCACUUGAGCAACUCCACGGCAAGAGCCACUGACUUUGGGACUUUGCUCAUCUGGAAGUUUCCUUCAGUGCAAGUUUACUGGGACCAUUUAUGCCAAGACAGCUCCGGUGGUGGACUUGGCUGUAGCCCAUGUGUGAUGUUUCCUGUACAUUGCAAGAAAUCCCACAUUGCUCCCUUUGUUUCUGGCUCUCAGUGGCACAACUGUGGAUGUUGGAUGUACAAGCAACAGAGAGGACAUGUGCCCCUGGGUGGACCUAUUAAAUUCUGUGCUCCACAUAAAACUUUUCACCCUCAUGUCCCAGCCACUUGGGUGGCUUCUCAGCAAGGGUGACAUGGUGCAGAGAGAAGUAUUCACAAAGAAAAAUUAAAUAGGUUUGAUGA